UUAUUUCACUUUGUAAAAACAAGUACCGGUCUUAAAAAAGAUUUUCCAGUUUUUUUUUUAACAAAAUUAAGAAUUAAAUAAAUAUAUAGAUAACUGAGAUUGUUGAAAGUGCAAUUCUGAAUAGAGAUUUGAGAUAUGUUGCAUAUAUAGAUCUUUUUUCCUAAAAUUCAUACUUUUGGUUGGCUGCAUUAUGUUUUUUUUCAUACAGUAAGGCUGAAUAUGAGUGAAAGGUACAAACCAUUAGUGUAUUCUUAGCAAGGGAAAUAACUCUCAAAUACAGAACUUUAGUUGUGUUAAAUCAAAAGAGGAUGUUGGUAUAUCAAUUGAUUUCUUUGUGUCUUACUGUUAUGAUAUAUAUUUAUACCAGUAUUUUAUACUGUAUGAGUUACACUAUAUAGAUUUUAUGACAUAAAAAACUAUUUUGGUUCAAGGUUUUUCCUUUUAUUAC
rnacentral:lncRNA from 1 species